rnacentral:tRNA from 1 species
AUAGAGCCUUAGUAGUAUAACU